GGGGGAGCAAAACUAAAGUUCAAAUUGGCAUCUAUUUGGAUGAGAUAGGGGGAACUUUCACUCUCAAAUUUAGAAGAUGCUGAAAUUUCAGCACCUAAAGCAUUUUCUAAACUUUAAACCUCAAUUCUCAUAUAAACAUCAAUUUGCUUAUACUCAAUAUUUUUUAAUCAUCAAAAAGGGGGAGAUUGAGGAUGAUAAUGUUAUUUUGACAAUUAACAUAACCACUGAGGCCAUAUCAAA
rnacentral:lncRNA from 1 species